GUAAAUCGUAAAGCCGCCGUGCGCGCUCUGCAUGCUGCGGACGAGGAGCUAAUUUCCUGGUAGACGUCUUCAGGAUGCCUCAAGUCAGACCUCUCCAGAGCGGCCCUUAAAGAUAUCGCUGUUUGAUUACAAGCAACCCCGCGUUUUACGGGGUUCAGCGACAUAUACUACAUUUUGUCAAGCUCAACCAGAAGCUGAAAGUGGCAGACGAGGGUUGCUUAUCGCAUGCGGAAUGGCCCUCCCUGAAAACAGCACCGAUGGAAAUGACUGUAAUAAACGCGCCGGUGUUGGCGGUCUGAGCAGCACACCGGGAGCCCUGCUUUCUGCACCCUGUUCUGAGAACGACUUCCUCUGCGGCCAGGAGCAGAUCACUUCUCUUAGUUACCACCAUGCCAAUUCAUAGUUGAAAUCAAUUAGUUAAUGUUUGCAAAGUCAGUUGAAGAUGAAAAAGCAUUACAUACUGCUAAUAAAACUGUAACGAUCCCACUGUUAAACAUUAAACGCACAAUGAUGUGUAAAAAAA